GUUUCUGUAGUGUAGUGGUUAUCACAAUUACCCAACCCGCAGAAGGUUCUGGGUUCGAAACCCAGUUGAAAUU